UUGUUUUCCGUCUCUCUCCUCGCCCCCGCCCCCUAUCUCACUCGGGCCCUCCCAAUCCCCGCCCCUCCGCCUCCAACUUCCGUUCUAUCCUCGGGGGGGCUGGGCCCGUCCGGUUUCCCGGCACCCCCCGCGCGGCCUCGACCUUUCCCGCAGACCUCGGGCCGCCGCCGCCGCGGACUGUGCGCCCGGCCUGCUCAGGUGAGGGCUUGCGGAGGGGGGCCGACCCUAAAUUCGCGCGCCGACCCCCGGCUGGCCGGUAAUGCGGAGCCCGGCCCUUCUGUCGCUUCCGGGGCUCGGUGCUACCUUUCGUGCCCGGCCGGCACCGUUUCCUGUGCCGGGGCAGCGCCCAACGGCCUCAUGGCACAGAUUUCGGGAAGACUCGGGCUGAGAGGUCAGCAGGGACUCUCGGGGUCGCUCAGGUGGGAAGUGACAGCCAGACGAUGGCCCCUCAUCCGGAAGGCCCUUGAUCUCCCCGCACCAGUGCCGGGAUCCUUGGCGUCCUGGACGAGGUCGCCCCCGUCAGAGUCGGGCGUCCGGAUUCGCAGGCGCGGCCGUGUCCGCCCAGCCCGGGAGCCGCUAGUCCGCUGGGCCCCGGCCUCGUUCGUUCCCUUUCCGCCCGGGUACAUAUCCAGAGGUAGUUGUUGAGUUAUGGGAUCCCUUUUUCUUGGCAAAGAUACUGGAGUGUUUUGCCCUUUUCUUCAGUUCAUUUUUAUAAGAAAUGAAGAACAAACAUUGUUAUCUAGUAAUAAAUAGCUUUCUCUCUCCCUGAUUAGGCAUCAGGAUCAUAUUUGUCUUAUAGAAGGAGCAUGUUUCAGUUUAUUUCCCAUGAAGUCUGCUGGCUGUCACCUUGGAGAUGUUCACAAGGAAACAAGUGAAGCAACUUCUGCGGAGGAUACCUGGAAAACAGCGCUUUGGUGUCUAUAGGUUUCUUCCUUUCUUCUUUGUUCUGGGAGGAGCAAUGGAGUGGUUUAUGAUCAAAGUCCGAGUUGGCCAGGAGACCUUCUAUGAUGUUUAUCGAAGAAAAGAAUCAGAGAGACAGUACCAAAGAAGGCUGGAAGAAGAAUCUUGAGAAGCAUGAAUGGUGGAGCCUUACUUUUCAACAAAAUAAGUAGCCAUAACUUUUAAGUCAAAUGUGAAUGUGAACUGUUUUCACUUUGGGUUUCUCUAUCAUGUAAGAAACCUAUUAGUUAGUGCCCUCUUGUGGCCAGAUCAUGGAUCUUCACCCCGUCCAAAACAUCUGUGUGAAGAAGGGUUUUCUGUCUCAGUAUUUUCAUACUUUAAUGUUUGAAAAGGAGUAUAAUGAUUUCUUUAGGAGGGCUUUCAGAGCAGAUUGAAUUAAAUGAAUAUGUUUUAGAUCAUUAAUAAUAAUUUUAAAGUACUGCUUUGUGAUGAAAUUUUAAAUAAAUUAAAUCAUGA
rnacentral:lncRNA from 1 species